rnacentral:rRNA from 1 species
GACGAACGCUGGCGGCGUGCUUAACACAUGCAAGUCGAACGGAAAGGCCCUGCUUUUGUGGGGUGCUCGAGUGGCGAACGGGUGAGUAACACGUGAGUAACCUGCCCUUGACUUUGGGAUAACUUCAGGAAACUGGGGCUAAUACCGGAUAGGAGCUCCUGCUGCAUGGUGGGGGUUGGAAAGUUUCGGCGGUUGGGGAUGGACUCGCGGCUUAUCGGCUUGUUGGUGGGGUAGUGGCUUACCAAGGCUUUGACGGGUAGCCGGCCUGAGAGGGUGGCCGGCCACAAUGGGACUGAGAUACGGACCAGACUCCUACGGGAGGCAGCAGUGGGGAAUAUUGCACAGUGGGCGGAAGCCUGAUGCAGCAACGCCGCGUGCGGGAUGACGGCCUUCGGGUUGUAAACCGCUUUCGCCUGUGACGAAGCGUGAGUGACGGUAAUGGGUAAAGAAGCACCGGCUAACUACGUG